CAAUGGCGUAUAUUAAAGUUGUUGCAGUUAAAAAGCUCGUAGUUGGAUUUCUGGCAGGAGCGACCGGUCGGCCCAAGUGGUGUGUACUAGUGUUGCAUCUGGCCAUAUUUGCGGAGAGCGUGUGUGGCAUUAAUUUGUCGUGCACGGGACCCGCAUCGUUUACUUUGAAAAAAUUAGAGUGUUCAAAGCAGGCCUAUGCUCUGAAUAGGUUAGCAUGGAAUAAUAAAAUAGGACUUUGGUUCUAUUUUGUUGGUUUCUAGGACCGAAGUAAUGAUUAAUAGGGACAGUUGGGGGCAUUCAUAUUCCAAUGUCAGAGGUGAAAUUCUUGGAUUAUCGGAAGAUGAACUUCUGCGAAAGCAUCUGCCAAGGAUGUUUUCAUUGAUCAAGAACGAAAGUUAGGGGGAUCGAAGAUGAUCAGAU
rnacentral:rRNA from 1 species